AAAGAUCCUCCAUCAACUUAUAAGGUUAGGAAACCAACCCAGAGAAAAGUAGUUUGCCUAAGCGUAUACAGUUUAGAGAGUGGAUUGAAAUUCAUUUGCUUAUUUUUGUUGUUGUUUGUCUUUUGAAACAGGGUCUUAUAUAGCCCAGGCUGGCCUCCCACUUCUGAUCCUCUUAUUACCACGUGCUGAGCUCUGGAAUUACAAGUGCGUUCUGCCCAACUCAGCAGUUUUCUUCUCAACCUCCCUCUCUUCUUUCAGACAGGAUUAGGGUUUUGCUGUGUAGCCAAGGCUAGCUUUGAACUUAUUACUGCCUCACUUCUGAAAUGUACAAAGUAUAUAUUACCACACCUAGUUUGAAAUUGAAAUUUUCUGAUUUUGGGUUAAUAUAUAAUCUGUUGUUUAUUUUUUUUAAAUAUCUAUUUAUUUGUGCGUGGCAUGUAUAGAGGUCAGACAGCAACUCUCAGUGGUCCAUGCUCUCCUUCCACAAUGUGGGUCCCAAAGUUUAAACUCAGGUGGUCCAGCAUGAUAGAUAGCACAUGCCCUUACCUGCUGAGCCAUCUCACCAGCCCCACAUCCCAACCCUUUUUAAAAUAUAAAAUGUGCUGGUGCAUGCCUUCAAUUCCAGUACUUAGGAGGCAGAGGCAGGUGGAUCUCUGAGGUUGGGGCUAGCCUGGCAUAGAGAGUUCUAGGACAGCCAGAGCAACAGAGAGAAACCCUGUCUCCAAAUAAAAUAAAAAUAAAUAAAUAAAUAAAUAAAUAAAUAAAUAAAGAAUGCCUCACAAAUGUCCAUGUCAUCUUCAGGCAGGGACUAUGAAAAUCUCUCUGUAUUGCUCCAUUUUUAGUUUAUGCGCUGCCAAAGACAGCAGUGUAAUGGAAAGUUUCUUGUAGCCUGUACAUAUGGCAGCCCCAAGGUAUCUGGAGAUUUUAUCAAAGGAAAUCAUUCACAUAAGUGCCAUCGAAUGGAACAUGAUUAACUGACAAGUGCAUUUAGUGGAAGUUUUUUGUUUGUUUGUUUGUUUUCAGACAAGGUCUCACUUUGUGGGCUCUAAAGCUCUCCUGCCACUUUUCUUACAUGCUGGUAGUAUAGGCGUGCUCCUCCCACAUAUGCUUGUGGAGUUGUUUCACUUUUGUUCUGUUUUUCAAGACAGGAUUUCUUUGUGUAACCCAGGCUGUCCUAGAACCAGCUCUGUAGACCAGGCUGGCCUUAAACUCACAGAGAUCUGCCAGCCUCUGCUUCCCCAGUGCUGGGAUUAAAGGCACUUGCUACUACUGCCUGGCAACUUUAAGACUUUUUUUUUUUUUUUAAAGAUGUAUUUAUUUUUAUUAUAUAUAAGUACGCUGUAGCUGUCUUCAGACACUCCAGAAGAGGGAGUCAGAUCUCAUUACGGGUGGUUGUGAGCCACCAUGUGGUUGCUGGGAUUUGAACUUCGGACCUUCGGAAGAGCAGUCGGGUGCUCUUACCCACUGAGCCAUCUCACCAGCCCAACUUUAAGACUUUUAUUAAAUAUCCCAGCACGCCAGGUGUGGUGGCGCACACCUUUAAUCCCAGCACUCGGGAGGCAGAGGCAGGCAGAUUUCUGAGUUCGAGGCCAGCCUGGUCUACAGAGUGAGUUCCAGGACAGCCAGGGCUAUACAGAGAAACCCUGUCUCGAAAAACAAACAACAACAACAACAACAACAACAAAUAUAUAUAUAUCCCAGCACAUGGCAAGAUUGAGGCAGAAAGAUCAAGAGUUCAAGGACAGCCUCAGUUACAUAGCAAGUUCAGGGCCAACCUAGGCUACAGGAGACCCUGUCUCAAAAAACAAACAAAAUGUUAGUAUAAACUUUUACUCUGCAAAAUUAUCCAGGCCACUGUGUUUUCGGAAUGUAAAUCUUUAGCUCACCAAGUAGAACAGAGCCCCUUUGGGCUUUGCCUCUCCUCCUACUUGCUCAAGUAUGUCUGCACCCUGUGUCUGCCAGCCUCUGUGUAGGAAGGAUUGGUGAAGCAGAUGUUAUUUCAAUCUUUACAGUGAGGAUUGAGUCCAGGAUAAUGAGGGCUCUGCACCAGAGCAAAGCUUCAAGUUUGCAACUCCUCAGCUUCGACAUUAUUUUCUACAGGUCAUUUCGAGUUCUUUCCACCUUGGUUCAUUAGAGUUGAAAGAAAAAAAAAUCAUUAUGCCCAUGUCUAGAUAGAUGCAUUGUGUACCUAUUCCAGAUCAAAUAAGCCAGUUUCCAAAGGUAAAGUCAGGCUGGAGAACAACUUCUUAGCCUAUGUUGGCAGAAGCAAACCUAAAUCCAAGUGAAUUAACCAUCCCCUUCCCCCCCCACCCCCACCUUCAUGUUUUUGGAGGUAGUUUGUCUAAUAGGAGAAAGUAGGUUGGUUUGUCUUCUUUAAGUUUGAAUUUGAGCAGGAACUUAUUUUUACUUAUGCGUGUGCACAUGAAUCCAGGUGCUCAUGGAGGCCAGCAGAUCUCUGGAGUUGUACUUAGGGAAAGUUUUGAGCCACUCAGCAUGAGUACAGGAACCUGGAGCUGGGUCCGCUGGAGGAGCAGCAAGGGCCCUGGACUGCCACGCAUUCCUCAUUUGGGAGCAUGACUUUAGGAAUCAGUUUUUAUCUGUAAUCAGUUUUGAUAUUUACACCUUGUAGGUAACCUAAGAUUCAACAUGAUAAGACAUGAAAUGAGAAGACAUAUAGAAUAAAUUAUGCAGAAGAGCUUGAG
rnacentral:lncRNA from 1 species